GUGAUCUCAGAACAAGCGAAUCGGGUCUUUUAGAAUAAUUUGUCAUAACGUUUUGUGACAAGGAUUAUUGCUAUUUUGGGUGGGAAAAAAUUAUAGUGUGUUUAAAAUUUUCCAAAUAGGCUACUUUAUAUACUUAAAGGGGCUUUGAACGCAAUUAAAGGCAUAGUUCAUCCAAAAAUGAAAAUUCUGUCAUCAUUUACUCACCCUCAAGUUGUUCCAAACCUGUAGGAAUUUCUUUCUUCUGCUGAACACAAAAGAAGAUAUUUUAAAGAAUGUUAGUAAUCAAACAAUUGAUGGGCCUCAUUGAAUUCCAUAGUAUUUUUUCCCAUUAAGUUCUUUUGUGUUCAGCAGAAAAAAAGAAACUCAUACAGGUUUAGAACAACUUGAUGUUGAGUCAUUGAUGUCAGACUCUUCAUUUAUGGAUUAACUUGUGAUUGAUUAGUCAGAAUAUCAUAUAAUGAAAUGAAUUUGAUUAAACAUUGUCAUUGCCCCCAAAAUAUUAGGCUAGAUAAAUGAAUUAGAAGUAUGUAAAUAAAAAUAGCCUAUAGAAGUGAUAAAAUGUAUAAAGUGGUAUUUAGUCUACAAGAAGGUCGUAACUGGGAAAAAUAAAUAAAUGUAAUUUGUUUGGCUAAUAUACAAAAUUUAUUUAAAACCGUAUUUAAAGGGGACCUAUUAUGCCCCUUUUCACAAGAUGUAAUAAAGGUCUCUGGUGUCCCCACAAUGUGUCUUUAAAGUUUCAGCUCAAAAUACCCCACAGAUCAUUUAUUAUAGCUUGUUAAAUUUGCCCCAUUUGGGUGUGAGCAAAAACACGCCGCUUUUGUGUGUGUCCCUUUAAAUGCAAAUGAGCCGCUGCACCCCCUUUCCAGAAGAGGGCGGAGCUUUAACAGCUCGCGCUUCGGUUGCUCAACAACAACAAAGCUGGAGAAUCUCACGCAGCCAAAAUGACAAUUGUCAGUAGCGGUGUUCAGCCUUACAUUGUUCAAACCGGAGUCGGACACUGAUGGAGAGACUCAGGGAAAAGUUACAACUUUUAGAAUGCAACUGGACAUUUCUGAAUGGUGACCUGUGUGUAGUUGAGACAGCCGAAUAUCCCAGAAUGCAUUUCACACCAACUAGUGAGCAGCAAUGCCAGAGGAGAAAACCCAAAUCUUGUAAGCAAGAAUGUAGUUGUUUAAACUUUAAAUCUGUGGUCGAUUUAUAAAGAUUCUAUAUUUUUGGAAAAAAAUAUAGUAUCAGAUUGUUUCUUAUGCUCAAAUAGCAUUAAAUAUGCUUAUAUCUCAGGCUAGACCAGCCAAUGCGCAUGUAGUCUAGCCUCAGAUGUCACGCCCAUUGGCUGAAUGUCUGAUGCAUAUGGCACACUAAAUGGGAAACACUUCAGGAGUUUCAAAGUCUUCAUCUGAUUGGUUGAAUUCUCCAGGAUUUCCAGUAGACGUGUGUGUCAACGCACGUCUACUGGAAACGCUCCACCUGGAGACAAAGCCAUCGUGAGGCCAAACCCCCUUAUGGAAGAAGAAAGCCGUUGUGUUUACAACUGUGACAAUGAGUGCUUAUCUGGAUCAACUAAACACUGGAUUUUCAAAAAUAUGUUAAGUGUACAGCACCAUUGUUGCAGUGAACGUGCAUAUGUUCUUGAAUGAAUUGCACGCCAGUCUGUUAUUGUGGGGACAUUGACUUUACAUUUUCACACCCCUAAACAUGAUGCUGAACAAAACGAACUGUGAUUGGUUGCUUUACAUGUUGGUCAGACGUCCUCUUGGGUGGUCCUUGGCCAAUAAAAGCUGCUGUGGAGUCCAGGGCUGUGUUUAAGUCCAAUUUUUAAUCCCUUCCCUCGCUGACUUUCCUCAGUCUCAUUCACUACUGGCGGGACCCUUGCAAUGUGUUUAAAUGGUACAACCUUUACAUUACAUUUACAGUUAAAAGAAUAACAGCGAUGAUUCAGAUUGGUUUGGUUUAUGCACAUUUUAUUUGUAAAAAGUCUACAAAAUAGUUGGUAAGAAAAAAGUCUUAUGCAGGUCUAUACUUAACUAGUAGAACAGGACAAAUGAAUAAAUCUAUUCAUUGGUGUCCCAUUUUUAGUUUGCUAAUUGUUUUUUUUCCCUUCUUACUAUAAUUCAUUAUUGCAGUGAUAAUUAGAUUUGGUUGAAUUGUUCCAGGUAGGCAGCUAUGUAAGCGCAGUGUUACCAAUGAAUAAAAUAAAUCUCACAAAAGCGACUAGCAAUGCAAAAUGGUAUCAUUUAGCGUACCACAUCAGUACUUUCUAUGUUGAAUCAGGUAUUGAUGUAAGUCUGUCUUAUGCCAUCAGCAUUAACUGAAUGGAGUUGGUGCACAUCUUUCAACAACCCAGCAAACUGCUCCUCC